UACAGAGGUCCCAAGCGUUGUUCGGAUUCACUGGGCGUAAAGGGUGCGUAGGUGGCGGGGCAAGUCUGAUGUGAAAGCUCGGAGCUCAACUCCGAAACGGCAUUGGAAACUGCCUUGCUCGAGGGUUGGAGGGGGGACUGGAAUUCUCGGUGUAGCAGUGAAAUGCGUAGAUAUCGAGAGGAACACCGGUGGCGAAGGCGAGUCCCUGGACAACUCCUGACACUGAGGCACGAAAGCCGGGGGAG
rnacentral:rRNA from 1 species